ensembl:lncRNA
GUUCCUCUUUGUCUCUCAGUAGGAAAUCUAAACCAGACAGUACAAGGGUACAUUUCAGCGUUACAAGCCAAUCAGUUUGCUAAUUGUUCUGUGAGAUUUGUUUGCAAAGUUUAAGGUGUUAAAGCAGGAGCUGGCAUUCUGCCAGAGCCUCAGCAACAAGACCGCCUCCCAGCAACGAGACUGCCUGUCAGCCUUGCAAGGUACCCAAUUUUCUAAUUACUCUAUAACAAAACUGUUGUGGGCAACAAGACUGUCUCCUAUGUUUGCAAGCCAAUCACUUUGUUCUUGUAAGAUUUGUUUGAAAAGUUUGAGGUGGUAACUGUGAGCUGUGAACAUCCGGGUUUGCUUGCUGCUGGCAUUCGACCAGCGUCUCAGCAACAACACUGCCUCCCAGCUUUGCAAGGUAAUUACUUUCCCAAUUACUGUACACCAAAAUGGACUAACUGUCGUGGUCAACAAAUCUGCCUCCCAACUUUCAAGAUGCCGAGAAAAAAUAAAAGAUCCCAGGCACAAAAGAAGCGCUGGAAACCACUUGACUUGGUCGAUCCUGCUGUCCCAAUGCUCACUGGCCACAACCAAGAUGAGGCAGUCAGUCGUUUUCCAUCUGACCAGCAGACGGCACCAGCCAGGUUAUCUUUGGAAACACAGGAUAGACCCACCUCCUUAUGUUCCCCAGGUCCCAAGCAGACAGCACCAGCCAGCUUGUCCUUGGAAACGGAGAAUAGACCCACCUCCUUAUGUCCUCCAGGCAGCAAGAUUUCAGACACUCGUCCACCAGCAAAACGAGUCUGGGCAACCGAUGAUUUCCACACGGCAUCAAAUUCUCCACCUAAAAAGCCUUUCCACAACACAAAUGAACAACUACUGACAGAGGAGCUACAGAGAAACGCAGUUCAGCACUUCUGGUGUGUCAGUGCAACUCAUUGUCAAAGUGAUGAAAGGUACACAGAAUUCUCUCGAAAUCAUCAGUGCACAUGUAAUGCCCUCACAUUCCUGGCCUACCUUAAUGAGGAACACCAGUUCAACACAGCCCGACUUGAUAAGGUGCUUGAACAGGGAGAUGCACUCUACUGUUGGAUUAAAACAAAUCUUCAGCAGGAGGCGUUAUACACAAAAUCAUCUGACCAUGGAGGACCUGCCCAAAGAAGUUCAUGCUGACAUAAAUGUCUACAGUGUGAAAAUGGACAACAUAAGGUACGGAUACCUGAAAGCAGAGGACAAAACUUAUCAAAGAAAAGGAUGGUGGUUGCCUCUUGCUAGUCG